rnacentral:misc_RNA from 1 species
GAUGAAGAACGUAGCGAAAUGCGAUAAGUAGUGUGAAUUGCAGAAUUCAGUGAAUCAUCGAAUCUUUGAACGCACAUUGCGCCCCUUGGUAGUCCAUGGGGCAUGCCUGUUCGAGCGUCAUUUGUACCUUCAAGCUUUGCUUGGUGUUGGGUGUUUGUCUCGCCUUUGCGUGUAGACUCGCCUUAAAAUAAUUGGCAGCCGGCGUAUUGAUUUCGGAGCGCAGUACAUCUAGCGCUUUGCACUCAUAACGACAGCGUCCAAAAGUACAUUUUACACUCUUGACCUCGGAUCAGGUAGGGAUACCCGCUGAACUUAAGCAUAUCAAUAAGCGGAGGA